rnacentral:rRNA from 1 species
UACAGGGGGUGCAAACGUUGCUCGGAAUUAUUGGGCGUAAAGAGCUCGUAGGCGGUCUGUUACGUCUGCUGUGAAAACCCAGGGCUUAACCCUGGGCUUGCAGUGGAUACGGGCAGACUAGAGGCAGGUAGGGGAGAAUGGAAUUCCCGGUGUAGCGGUGAAAUGCGCAGAUAUCGGGAGGAACACCGGUGGCGAAGGCGGUUCUCUGGGCCUGACCUGACGCUGAGGAGCGAAAGCGUGGGGAGCGAACAGG